CUUGGGCAGGUGCAGCCACCUUGUCAGACUGGCUCACCUGAUUGCUGUUUUUUCCACAAGCUACCUUUCUUCCUUGUAUCUUUGUAAAAGCUGAACAGAGGUGCCUGCAAAAAUGAUGCAGGAUUCUUGGAAUUGUAAAGACUUCUGGAUAAGUGCUUUGACUCCAUGAAGUUGCUGCAGCCUCCAGGUUAUCUGGGUACAUGCUUCAGUGAGUAAAGGCACAGAUUUUGUAAUUUUGGGGUAAGCAAGCAGCUACUCAGUGUGAGCAGUGGAAGAGAGAGAUUCAAGAAACCUGCUGGUGGGCAUCUGGGCUUAAGAGAAGAGGAGGAAGAGGUGUUGUGGCUGUCAGUAGCUUGA